UACAGAGGUCUCAAGCGUUGUUCGGAUUCAUUGGGCGUAAAGGGUGUGUAGGUGGCGCCGUAAGUCGGGUGUGAAAUUUCGGGGCUUAACUCCGAAACUGCAUUCGAUACUGCGGUGCUUGAGGACUGGAGAGGAGACUGGAAUUCAUGGUGUAGCAGUGAAAUGCGUAGAGAUCAUGAGGAAGACCAGUGGCGAAGGCGGGUCUCUGGACAGUAACUGACGCUGAGGAGCGAAAGCGUGGGGAGCGAACAGG
rnacentral:rRNA from 1 species